AAAAUAAAUUACCUCGUGGCUUUUCUUCUUCACCAAGCGAUUUAGUAGUUUUAGGUGAUCCCUUCCAAUUUCUAAUGCUUUUUGUUGUUGCGGUACCAUUGCAGAUGCUCUAAUUCUUCUUCUCAAUUCCGUCCGACGCCGUCUCCCUCGCCCACCGCUUCCCAUCGCUUCUCGCCGCCGUCGCCGAAAUAUUGCUUCGGCAGACAUUGGGUACAAAGAACUAUACACAUUGGAUUAACAUGGUAUACCACUCCAGUUUCGUUGACGUUGAAGACAUUUCUAAAGCAUGUGGUUGCCCUCUACUGCCCCUAAAAAGCCACAUUAAAGGACCAGCUCCAGUCUCAGAACAAGAUAGCACUGAUAUUGUGGAUGAGGCGAUUACAUUCUUUCGUGCCAAUGUCUUUUUCAGAAACUUUGACAUUAAGAGUCCAGCUGAUAAGCUUCUUAUCUACUUAACAUUCUACAUAAAUCUUGCUCUGAAGAGGCUAGAAGGCUGCCGGACAUUGGCUGAAGGAACUAAAGCAAUUAUCAAUCUUGGACUGGAAAAGGUCCCUGUGCCCGGGGAGCAUGGAUUCCCAUUUCCAGGACUAUUUUCACAGCCACAGUCUGAAGAUGAAGCAGAGCUCUUCAGAAAUUACUUGAAGCAGAUACGCGAAGAAACAAGUGGAAGAUUAUUGAGUGUGGCGUAUCGAUCCAAUGGAACUCCAAACAAAUGGUGGUUAGCAUUUGCCAAAAGAAAGUUCAUGAAUGUCAUCACACCAUGAACAGAGGCAACGACAGCACAGCAGACUCAACUAGUAACAAUCCAUGUGUUUCUAGCUAACGCCACUGACACUGCUGCCCCAACCUCCGCAAUGCAGCCGUCGAGCCUUGCCCCACACCACUUUUGCGGCCCUGUAAGUUCAUGGCGUUGUUGACCCAAAAAAACUUUUAAAAAAUAUUUUAUCCUACUGACUACUAGUCUUGCUUCAACUUUUGCAGACUAUGAUGGCAUAAUUUGGUAGAAAUUUUCUCUUUAUUAUAAUAUUGCAAUUGCCUUAAA